CCUACGGGAGGCAGCAGUGGGGAAUAUUGCACAAUGGGCGAAAGCCUGAUGCAGCAACGCCGCGUGAGGGACGACGGCCUUCGGGUUGUAAACCUCUUUUAGUAGGGAAGAAGCGAAAGUGACGGUACCUGCAGAAAAAGCACCGGCUAACUACGUG
rnacentral:rRNA from 1 species